CAUCAGUUUACAUCAGCUCCAUUGACUUCAAUAGAAUUGCUACAGAUUUACACUGUUUUGUGUGAAAGAAAUACUGGAGCUUGGGGAAGCUGUGAGUCUGAAGGAUGUGGCUGCAGGAUGAGAGUGAAAGGUUACUGGAAAUUAUUCCUUCACAAAUCAUCUGGUGGCAGAAUUUCAGGAGAGUUUGGAGCUAAUUCUCCUUUUGCUUUUAUUAGUGUAUAUCAGGAGGAACUCUACUGAAUUCAACAGAAGUUAUCCGUUUAAAAGCAGUACUGAUGAAAGUUCUAAUCACCCGUUCCACCUGUUCAGAGGCCUUCAUCUAGUCACAGGCUCCAUUACACCACCACCAUAAACUGCAGUUACUCUUCCCCCUCUCCUUUUGCUUCCGACAACAAAGUAGAAACAGGACAACCCCUUUCCAUCAUCAUGUUCUUCAAGGUGGCUUAGCUGCCAAAUUGUAAUGGCCAGUGCUCCACGUCUGGGCUCUGGUAAAUUGAGAAAUAUGUAAAAUAUUGAAAACUACAUGCACUGUUAAUUUGCUAGGAAACCUCUUCCCCCCCCCCCCUCAAUGUUUAAAAGAAUGUUUUAUGAAACUAAAGGGCCAAUUAAUUGAGCCCUAGUGUAAGCAGAGGAAACAACUGUGUAAAAGUCAAAGGUUCUGAUGUCAAAAUUCACACACACAGUAUUCUGUACAAUUAGCCCCAAAUAUUACAACAGGUUACAGUUUUGAGAAGGUUACUACUGGCUUCUAAAGUAUUGUGUAUUUCUAAGGGCAGAGGAAGCAAUUUCUCCAUGAGACUCGAUUAAAUGUUACUUUAAUAACACAGAAGUAGAGUUCUCCACUGACAGAUGAUAUGGAAUAUUUUCUUAAGAGCAUUUGCAAACUACCCAUUCAGUAGUUUCUCUGGAGAAAUUGGCCUAUAAAAGACAAUCAUAACAGACAACAUCUUAGAAAUGUGGGGCCAGAGCCUCAGUUCAUGUAAAUAGCCAUAACUCUGCUGAAGUCAUUAGAACGACACUAAUUUACACUGAG